rnacentral:rRNA from 1 species
UACGUAGGGGGGCAAGCGUUGUCCGGAAUCAUUGGGCGUAAAGAGCGUGUAGGCGGUCCGUUAAGUCGGCUGUGAAAGUCCAGGGCUCAACCCUGGGAUGCCGGCCGAUACUGGCGGACUAGAGUCCGGAAGAGGUGAGUGGAAUUCCCGGUGUAGCGGUGAAAAUGCGCAGAUAUCGGGGAGGAACACCAAUGGCGAAGGCAGCUCACUGGGGACGGUACUGACGCUGAGGAGCGAAAAGCGUGGGGGGAGCGAAACAGGG